GGCCGGCGCUGAGCGCUGCCUUUCCGGCUGUUGCGGAUCUGCUUACAUUUAGGACUGCAGUUACUGCAGCGAGGCUGUCGCCGACUGGCCGAUUUUCCGAACGUGUGUAUGAUUGGAAGUUACCUCUAAUUAACGGUGGCUCCCGUGUAAGACUUGGGACUUCUGCCAAAGAGCAGUGUUUUCCUUUCCCGAAGAAGAAAAUCAGUACCCUUAAUUCUCAGUCUUCCCUUCUCCCCUCAGCCGAACCUGCAUGAAACCAGAAAGGUCUGGGGAGUAACAGAUCUACCUGUCUUGUGGCCACUGAAGACCACGCUUCUGUCUAAUCCUUGGGCAGGAACCCACAUCUUGCAAGAUAGCUGCUCUCCUUCUGGAGAUCUUCUGGACUGCCCCACCUCACUGCUUGGAGACAAGAAAUCUGAUUUCGUCAGACUGUAAGCUCAUUCCUGGUGGCCUCUGGCUGAUCAAGUUUUAAAGAAACUGUCAGGGAUUGGAAUAGAGGACUGUGAUUGGCAGUCCCACCAGAACAAUGGGACGGGGAUAGGCAGUUCCCCAAAGGAGAAUGGAGUGCUGUCAUCAGGAAAAGGUGAAGGUAUUGGGCAUCCAGACCCAAUGGAUGGCUCUUGGAGUAGGUGCUCAAGUAAUGCUAGUUGUUAUUUGUGAGGUUGUGUUUUGGAGACACUACAACAAAUUACAUAAAAUUAUAGAUUAUAAUAAUGCAUAAUAAUGAUUAUUUACCAUGUGCCAGGCACGGUAUGUCUACUACCUCAUUUGAUUCUUAGCAAAUUCACACUUACUUUAUAGGUCUCCCCAGUUUCUAGGACACGCUUUCUGUGUCGGGAGAGUCAUCCAGCCUGAGUGCUCGUGAUGUCCCACUCAUCAAAGGGACACAAAGAAAAGAUGGCAGGUUGCUGUCAUCUCAGGAUCCCAUCUCGGUAUCUAGGCCAGCCUGACAGCGCUCCUUAGAUCCCUGUGGAUCUCUGCAUGGCAUGUGAAGUCCAAAGGGGCUUCAGCCCCAACUCAUUCUGCUUCAGGGCCGGGACCCAUGCUCUGCUCUGGCAGCACUAAUGACAAUAAUAAUCACUAAAAACACUUAGAGGCUGUUUUACUACCUGCCAAGGACUGUGCUAAGAGCUUUCCAUGUGUCAUCUCAUUUAACAGUUGAGGAAACGGAGGCCUGAAGAUGUUCCUUAUGAAGGUCACACAGUUGAUAAAUGAAAGAGCCAGGACUCAAAUCAGAAGCUAUCUAGAGCUCAUGGGCUAAACCACAGGCUGUAUUGCUCGGCUGAUCUGUGACCAUCUGUAAAUGCAGCCUCUUAAUAGUUUUUACUCGUUAAUUUAU